rnacentral:lncRNA from 1 species
GAAAAUAUUUGCUCAUUAAAUCUCCUAUGCAAAUUAACAACUGUGGUUUCUAUGCAUCAUCUUGAGCUUUAACGAAUCUAAACUUAAAUCUGGUCAAGAAAACGUCCCAAGGAAGAAUAUGAAGAACCACCAUCCGACAAAGCCUUCUUGCUCUUUUCACUAAUUUCCUUCACCCUCGCUCUUAAAUCACUGUCCUUCUCCAUCACUUGCCUUAUCCCUCUCUCUAUCUCCUCUGCACUCACCACCACUUCACUGUCCUGAUUAUAAUCUAUCUUAAUUUCCACACCCAAUCCCAAAUCCUUCACCAGCUCAAACGCAUUUAGUUGUUGUUCUGCGUACAAUGGCCACGUGGCAACCGGCACACCACACCAUAUGCUCUCCAGCGUAGAAUUCCACCCACAAUGGGACACAAACCCUCCGACCCCCGGGUGGGCCAAAAUGGCCACUUGUGGAGCCCAUCCUAUGACCUUCCCUAUCCCAGCCGUCCGAUCAAGAAACCCUUCAGGCAAGACUCCCUUGACAUCCGCAUAAUCGGUCGGCAUCCCCAUCUUACCUUUUGGCUCGGGCUUCCGUAGGGACCACAAGAACCGCUGCCCGCUUUGCUCCAGCGCACACGCUAUCUCCUUCACCUGCGCCUCACUAAAGCUUCCCAUGCUCCCAAAGCACAGGAACACCACCGAGGAAGGAGGCUGAUCAUCAAGCCACUCCAAGAUAUCAGACUUCUGAAUGGACUGGUCCGAGCCAACGUGGCCAUCAUCACUCUUCAGAUUCAACAGGGGCCCCACAGGGUACACCGGUGGGAAUUUACCAUCAGAAAGAGAACGAAGAGCAUGUGGUUCCAGCUCCCUGAAAGUGUUUAUCAAAAUACCCUUGGUUUGUCUAAACCCCGCUGCAAAAUCGAUGAAGUCUGUAGCGCCUUCCUUCGUUCGCAUCACUCUCGGCCAGACUCCAGCAGGCACGGGGUUGAUGAAACUCGGGACGAUCGACUCAGAUUCCCACCCAGUUAUCUCAGCAACGUCCUUCCCCUGCUCAUCAUGAAGUGACUGGAGGUGGAACCAGAACCCUAGAGUCGCUGCGCCGGAGGUGAAGAAGAGGUAGGAAGGAAUCUGGAAUUCGUCCGCCACGUUGAUCAUGGGGGUGCAGAACAUGUCGAUGACAAUCCCGGCAAGCUCGGCCUGAGCGGACUCAGCGAGUAACUUUGUGACGGCAUCUUUGACGUGGGUUUUGUGGCCUUGGACGAAUGUUUUGAUGAAGGAAGUGAAGGCAAGGCCCUGUGUGUCGAUGUGGGACUCCGGGAGGUUGACGAAGCUGAUGCGGUGUGAGAUUGAAGGGUCUGUAUUGGUGAAGAGCUUGUCGAAGGGGAGCUUCAUGAUGAGGAUGGUGAUGAAGAGCUGGUCAUCUCGAGCAACGAGUUGUUUCGCGAUCUCGACCGUUGACACGAUGUGGCCAACGCCUGGGGCUGGGAUGAACACAAGUUGUGCUGGUCUCUUCAUUAUUUGAUUAAUUUUGGG